AGAUUGCAGCACGAGAGUUUCGCGUAUGGUCUCCCACUACACUACUCGGUCUCGCUCUUAAUAGCUUAACUACAGUUGAUCGGACGGGAAACGGUGCUUUCUACUAGAUGUGGCCGCAACC
rnacentral:rRNA from 1 species